rnacentral:rRNA from 1 species
CUCAGGAUGAACGCCGGCGGUGUGCCUAAUACAUGCAAGUCGUACGCACUGGCCCAACUGAUUGAUGGUGCUUGCACCUGAUUGACGAUGGAUCACCAGUGAGUGGCGGACGGGUGAGUAACACGUAGGUAACCUGCCCCGGAGCGGGGGAUAACAUUUGGAAACAGAUGCUAAUACCGCAUAACAACAAAAGCCACAUGGCUUUUGUUUGAAAGAUGGCUUUGGCUAUCACUCUGGGAUGGACCUGCGGUGCAUUAGCUAGUUGGUAAGGUAACGGCUUACCAAGGCGAUGAUGCAUAGCCGAGUUGAGAGACUGAUCGGCCACAAUGGAACUGAGACACGGUCCAUACUCCUACGGGAGGCAGCAGUAGGGAAUCUUCCACAAUGGGCGCAAGCCUGAUGGAGCAACACCGCGUGAGUGAAGAAGGGUUUCGGCUCGUAAAGCUCUGUUGUUGGAGAAGAACGUGCGUGAGAGUAACUGUUCACGCAGUGACGGUAUCCAACCAGAAAGUCACGGCUAACUACGUGCCAGCAGCCGCGGUAAUACGUAGGUGGCAAGCGUUAUCCGGAUUUAUUGGGCGUAAAGCGAGCGCAGGCGGUUGCUUAGGUCUGAUGUGAAAGCCUUCGGCUUAACCGAAGAAGUGCAUCGGAAACCGGGCGACUUGAGUGCAGAAGAGGACAGUGGAACUCCAUGUGUAGCGGUGGAAUGCGUAGAUAUAUGGAAGAACACCAGUGGCGAAGGCGGCUGUCUGGUCUGCAACUGACGCUGAGGCUCGAAAGCAUGGGUAGCGAACAGGAUUAGAUACCCUGGUAGUCCAUGCCGUAAACGAUGAGUGCUAGGUGUUGGAGGGUUUCCGCCCUUCAGUGCCGGAGCUAACGCAUUAAGCACUCCGCCUGGGGAGUACGACCGCAAGGUUGAAACUCAAAGGAAUUGACGGGGGCCCGCACAAGCGGUGGAGCAUGUGGUUUAAUUCGAAGCUACGCGAAGAACCUUACCAGGUCUUGACAUCUUGCGCUAACCUUAGAGAUAAGGCGUUCCCUUCGGGGACGCAAUGACAGGUGGUGCAUGGUCGUCGUCAGCUCGUGUCGUGAGAUGUUGGGUUAAGUCCCGCAACGAGCGCAACCCUUGUUACUAGUUGCCAGCAUUAAGUUGGGCACUCUAGUGAGACUGCCGGUGACAAACCGGAGGAAGGUGGGGACGACGUCAGAUCAUCAUGCCCCUUAUGACCUGGGCUACACACGUGCUACAAUGGACGGUACAACGAGUCGCAAGCUCGCGAGAGUAAGCUAAUCUCUUAAAGCCGUUCUCAGUUCGGACUGUAGGCUGCAACUCGCCUACACGAAGUCGGAAUCGCUAGUAAUCGCGGAUCAGCAUGCCGCGG